UACGUAGGUGGCAAGCGUUGUCCGGAUUUACUGGGCGUAAAGGAUGCGUAGGCGGACAUUUUAAGUCAGAUGUGAAAAUACCCGCUUAACUUGGGUGCUGCAUUUGAAACUGGGUGUCUAGAGUGCGGGAGAGGUGAGUGGAAUUCCCAGUGUAGAGGUGAAAUUCGUAGAUAUUGGGAAGAACACCAGUGGCGAAGGCGGCUCACUGGCCCGUAACUGACGCUGAGGUGCGAAAGCGUGGGGAGCAAACAGG
rnacentral:rRNA from 1 species